AGAACGUGAUUUACUUAUUAAUGACUGCAGACCUUUAAUAAUGCAGGAUUUCUAUGAAUUUUUCUACCUUGGAUCCUACCACCUCAUAUAGGAAGAUGUUAUAUAAUAUGAAGAAAUAAUGCUUUGCAACAAGUGCUUGAAGUGAAUUAAUACUGUGAAUUUCAAGGAGCAGUCCCCACUGAUGUUUGUGAUGUAAAUGCAGCCAUGUCUGGAGCUCUGGACAAGAGGUGCUAUGAAGAAGUUCUCCUCCUUCAGUGGCAGAGCAGGGAGCUCUGGAUUGCUGGGCAUUCUUGGAGAGAGGAGGAGCCAGAGGAAGACACACUGCAGCUAUCCCAGAAUAAGGUACAGCUUUCCAUCAAUCCAAGCCCAAAGAUGUAGAUGAUACCACAUCCCCUAAAAAACAGCCAAACAAAUAAACCUACCACAAAACCCAUUCCUGGGGGUAAGAAACUUAGUCCCACAAUGUCCUAUCUAUAGUUUUCUGCUAAGACUAAGCUUGGAGGGUCAUUGCUCACUUUGCCAUGAGUGAUUCUAUCAAGACAAACUAUGCUAGCAGUUCUAAUGGUUAGGGUUUGGGUUAACCUUAGGGUUAGCUUAGGAUUAGUGUUAGGUUGUGU